rnacentral:miRNA from 2 species
UUGGUCCCUUUCAACCAGCUA